CACUGGACAACAAGCUUGGGAACCAGUUUGGAGUUGUUUUCAGGAGCCAAUGAUUCACUUUUUAAGGCAAGUUUCUUUUCUGUUUUGGAAGACCUAUUGAGAAAUCUAAUUAACUUCUACAUUUUCUAUAUAAACCUCCCCCCAAACAGCCAUAUUUCUCCUCAGAGAUAUUUUGAUUGGAUAACACCACCAAUAGAGUUAUGCCCCUUGAUUUUGCUGUGGUACAUAAAUGACCAUUUUUGGGGGGUUUGUUACUUAUAUAGUAUCCAGGACAUCCCAUCAUGUCCAAGCUGGUGUACAAAGUUUCCUCCACUGCCAAGGUAGAGCAGAUGGAAGCAGAGUUGUCUGUCCAGCUGUCAGCUCUCCGAACUGAAAUAGAGGAGAAUGGAUCUCCCCUGGAAACACCCUCCAAGUCUUACAGGUAUGGAUGGAUACAUGGAUAUGAGGGAGGUCUGUGAGCAAAAUAAAGUUGCCCAGUUAAAAUGCCAGUGAUUGCAAUUUUCUCCUGUUUGAUACUGGCUGCCUUUUUUUGUAGAUGUUCUAUUGUAUUUUAUUGUAUUCUAUAUAUAUUUUUUCCAUCGUACUAUAGCUCAGUUCCAGUUCCAAAAGAUGUAUCGUACUUUCGUAUGGAGAGAGAGCAGGUCCUGAGGAGAGGUCUUCAGGUGGCAGAAGCACUGCCAGUGGUGUCUCUGUCUGAUGUGCUACAGAGAGAGCUGCAAAGUUGCCUAAGCCUGGAGUACACACCUGAGAGUCUGCCUCUUCUCCUGCACCAGGUAAACUGGGCUGAUUAUAAUGUCAUUGGAAUCACAUUGGUGAUGCUCAGGGCCCCCGCGGCUGCCCUGAUAAAUUGAAGGUGUUUGUGAGGGCAAAAGGGGGUGCGACUCAAAAUUGGGAAGGUGUUUUGUUUUGUACACUCAGUGUAUUUAUGGUAGUUUUAUGCAGACCGAUGCUACCAGUUGGCCCAGAUCAAGUACCUGCUGAUGCUGAGAUGGAGAAGGUUCUGUCGUCACUCCCACAUCAUUGAGCAGCUGUAUCCCUUCUACAAGGCCCAGGUAUCAAAUCUGGUCAGUGAGUAUGAGGAUGCUGUCCAGCGGGCCAGGAGACUGGCUGUUUCCAGGGAGAAGGUCCUGACAGGGCGGGGCAACCCCAUCAACACGGUCACCCAGGAAGAUGUGACCAUCUACCUCACCUGGCUGGUCUGUCACCUGCAUGCCUCCAAGACCAUCCACCACUUCCUGACAGUGAUCCACUACAUCCCAGCCUCUGAGAAGAGGGAUAAAGAAUCUUCUGAGUUAUUAAGGAAGUCCCUAUCAAGUUCCCCAGUGCUGGUUGAAUGUGUCCACACAUCUCCAGAAGAUAAAGACCAAGUCUUGGCUGGGCUUGAGGGUAACACCAACCCUUAUUGAACCUCUACAUUUAAAUGUCUUACUAGAACUCGAUGUAACUCUACAUGUGGGUACAAAAGAGAUUCAUUCAUGCUCGUGAUCGUUCCUUUCUGUAGGGAUGUUUAGACUGGCUAACCAAGUUCCCAUGCACACUGUGAAACUGGAGGAGUUCCUCCCAGAACUACAACGCCUGGUCUCCUACUUCCGUUUGCCCUACGACACCCAAAACAUCAGGAACACUGCAGACGAGAUGGAGCUCUUCAGCAUGGUAGCACCGUUGUAACAUACAUGUCAAGUUAUUUGGUCCGUCGUGUACUCUCUUGGUGUAGAUCCGCACGUACGUUUCUCAUUGGCACCAAUGAAUAAGUUAUGCGAACGUCUGAGCUGUUCGCAUUUACCUCAACUCGGAAUCUGGUCCUUUGUUUGUUGGUCAGAUCUCAAAGGAGUUCAGGGUGAUCUUCAGACAGCAGGAGGUGAUGAAGACCUUCCUCCAGUAUGAUGGGACAGAGGCUGUAGAGGGACAGUGGGGGACGAAGAGGAGCACCAUGGCUCUGAGGAAGAGUGCUAACUGGAUACCAUACAUUCAGGUCUGGAGAGAGAGGGAUUGUCCCGGUCUCUGUCGUGACCUCUCUCCUGUCAAUCCUUGUCCUGCAUAGUACUUGGUUUUAUAACACUUGAAGUGCUAACAAGUUAGUUCAGAGAUGAUUGGAGAAAAGGUGUCAGGAACGCUGAUAUAUAAGGGAUGUAAAUUGAGCUAGCCCUUUAUCCAGAGGCUAGUACUUUUCAGACUGGGCUAGAAGAAAAUGUGCCAAACUAGUAAAAUGUUGUAUUAGCAAAAAUGGCAUGGCACAGAUUUUGGACCUAGGCUAAAAACAAAUUGCAGCCUACUAGCCCGGCUGACCAGUGCCCAAAACCCUUAAAUCCCAUCCCUAAUGUUUAUUUUCUGACUAAACACUAACAAAACAGGUGAAGCCCAAACGGGAUCCCUGGCAACAGAAACUUGUCACCAAGCUGAAGGAGCUCCAGUCUUAUGAUGAGUUGCUGAGGACUCACUGCAGGUUUCUCCAGGUAAACAGUCUAACACCUAAAGGAGGGAUUUUAUAAAUGACCUAAUAACGUUCAUCUCUAUAGCUUGUAUCGUGUAUCGAAGUAUGGGCUAACUACAAUGACUUUCAAUCGUGUUAUUUUGCAUACUCACAGUGACACCUCUCUCUCGCUCUCUCUCUCUCUCUCUCUCUCUCUCUCUCUCUCUCUCUCGCUCUCUCCCCUCACUCUCUCCCUCCCCAGCUGUCAGAUCCUGUCGUAGUGACUGAGGCCCUGAGGGAGCAUGCUUCCCAGGUAUGUGACCCUCAGGCCAUCCAGCCCUCAUCAUCUCUGACAUCGUCACACACCAACAGACACAACACCUUGCAGAUCUGGACCAGCAUUUACAGCGCUGCCAAUCUUUAUCAGGCAUGUAUUACCUAGUCAGAGAUGUGAUUAUGUGUGCUACAAAGACAACAUGCUUUUUCAUCAUGUUAAAUGGAUUGUGUCUGGGUUCAUUCCAACCACAAUUAGCAUUUUUUUUCCCCCUGCUAGGAAUCCAGUGGAUGUGGAGGACAGGAAAAAAGCAACACAAAGAGCAGAACCACUUCAGUCAAGAAAGUAAAUGAAAGGUACAUUAUUAAGAAGGACAGAAGAGGAUCACUUGGAUGUGGGUCUCAUUGAAAUAAAACGGAAUGCCUUUUGCUUAUUUGGUGUCCCUUCUCUCUCAUUCAUCCCAGCUAUAGCUACCUGAGCAGCAUGCAGCUGUUGGGUUUGGAUGAGGGCCAGGAAGGGGAAGAGGGUACCUCGGACACCGUCACAGCCAGGGGAGCCUACCUGUCACUCCUCUACCUUCGACACCUCAAGAUCAGGGAACUGCAGGUGAGCUUCAUCCAAGGAGACUUACGUGAUUGCUGCUGGAAUUGAAACGAUGACCUUGGCAUAGCUAGAGCCACACAAGACCACAAGGGAGAUUCAGAGUAGACUUUUAGACUGUUAGGGACUGCUCUCUAUACUCUUGUCGCUCCCACUGAACCCUGAGCUGUCCUCUCUUCCCCAGUGAGUCUCUCUUGGGAUGCUGAACUGCUAUCCAUUAUCUACUGUGUCAUAUCAUUGACCCUGCCAUUCCCUCUGGAGCCUGAGCUGUCUUACCCGUCCUCUCUCCCUUAAAGCGCAUCUCCCUAGGCAUUCUAAACUACCUGAGGUCCAUAGAGAGAACCCUGACUUUUGACACAGCUGGGAUGAGUGUGGAGGGAGGAAGAGCAUGUGGAGGAGGAGCAGGAGGAGGAAGAGCAGCAGGAGGAGGAGGAGGAAGAGGGGAAGCAGGAGGAGGAGGAGGAGGUGAUUUGGUCAGCACCACUGAGGAGUCAAGCUGGAUGAAUGCGGCCAGAGGGUGCAGUGGGACAGUCGGAGGUCUUGGCUCUCACCUCUACAGCCAAAACACUCCUGUUGACUACAAGGUAAGGCAUCACAGCUACAGUACAACCUGAGACAUUAAUGACAUUAGUGAUUUGUAGGGGUGAAGAAAA
rnacentral:lncRNA from 1 species